UACGUAGGGUGCAAGCGUUGUCCGGAAUUAUUGGGCGUAAAGAGCUCGUAGGCGGUUUGUCGCGUCGGCUGUGAAAACCUAGGGCUCAACUCUGGGCUUGCAGCCGAUACGGGCAAACUAGAAUUCGGUAGGGGAGACUGGAAUUCCUGGUGUAGCGGUGAAAUGCGCAGAUAUCAGGAGGAACACCUGUGGCGAAAGCGGCUCACUGGACCAUAACUGACGCUGAUGCACGAAAGCUAGGGGAGCAAACAGG
rnacentral:rRNA from 1 species